AGCCAUUAUGCUGGGCCAGCUUAGUUUCUUCUUCAGCUGACUCACAUUGAAAUCAGAAUUUCACUCUCCAUUUGACUCUUGGCCACUGCUCUUCUUGUUUCUUCGCCAAGCCCCUCCCCCCCAUCUUCAUUACCUGCCCCUGAAGAAAAGAGCUGUGAACCUUGAUGUUCUUGACAUUUAUCUUGGGAUCAGGCUAGGUCAGGAAAGCAUGAGCCUCACUGUACCGUGCCCCUUACAGCCUCUAUGUUGGUGGAUCCAUCAACCUGUUUUAGCACCUGUGUAACUUUUUUUUUUUUGUCUGCAAAUUAGUAAAGCUGUCCAGGCCACGCCAUGUGUGAUAUUUAUAAUUAUUCACACGUCCUGUGAGUUCUUUGCUACUAAGGCAUGACUGCUAAGUCUGUGAGCAAAUUCUUCCAAUUAAAAUCUGUGCUUGCUGGAUAAAAAUAAAUUGGCGUUAUGUUUCCAUGUGCAAUUAAAGUCGGAGCCUGAGUUCUGUACACCGUGUCAUGCACAACUGGAUGCAGGAAUGAAAAGAAAGUGGAGAAGCAGGUAAACUUUUGAUACUCCUACCUUAGGGAUCCUACAGUGGCUGAAAUCUUUGUGAGUUCAACAAGUUUGUAUGAAAAGGAAAACGUUUGUGUUCCUUCUGUCCUUCAGGAAUCUGCCUGAGAAGGCAUAAGAAGAGAAGGCCCUCUAGGCGACUUGAGAAAGGUAUCCUGGCCUUUAAUGCCGAAGGAAAGUAUCUGGCCUUUUCCUUUGUUCUGUCCUGAUUGAGCUGUGCAACUCGGGUUGGGAUAACUGCUGAACUUACUUUCAGUCCCAGCAUCUGUGUUCACUUGAGCCCAGGGAGGACAUGUUCUGUUUGUGUCCUGAGGGUUUGUGUAUGUGUGUGUCUAUACAUAGUUGUGGGGUGUUUUCCACCCAAUUGUUGGUUGUAACCAUGAAAGAUACAAAGAGCAAUUGCUUCACAGUUUAAUAAGCCUAAGUCUUCGUACCCACAGAGUGUAGGAGAAGUCUUUCCCCCUCUCAACCCUCGUCUUCAACUAAUUAUAUGCCUUGCCUAUGCAACUGUAAUUAUUUCACCAGCCUUUGUGAAACCUUUCUUUAAACUAUAGUUAGAAAAAUAGCAGAAACGAAUCUAUUUUGAGAACUUGUGUGGUGAAGCAAGUUCCAGCAAAAGAAAGGGAUCCUCUGGAUUGGACCCAGAGUGACAGCAUUUCGUCACUUGUAAGUUCAAGUGAUGAUGACAUAUUGGCGGUGCACCAGUUUCUUACUGGAUCUGAAAUAUACACUUGAUAAAUCUCUCUCCUUAAGAAUUAAAUGCACGGCAAUAUUGACCUGGUCAAAUAGUGGCAUUAAAAAAAACAAAAAACAAAACCAAACCAAAAAAACCCACAAAAGUUUCCAUGUGCUUUCCAUUUUCUGAGAUGAUGCCCUUGGAAGACCACAUGCCGCCCUUGCUGUUUGUAACUGAGUUUGUGUCAAAUGAAUGUUUUACAUGUCAUCCACAUGCUUGAUCAGUCUCUUAUCUUAGUUGAUCUUAAAAGAUCACAUAGGUAUGGAAACAUCAGAAUAGAGGUUAUAUGCUACAACAUCCAGCUCAGCUACAGAAAAUGGCAGAACUCUUGCUCUAGAUAUUAAAAGGUGAAUUUACAAAGUAAAUUGCACAGUAAGUGGACUCCACUCUGCUCUCUACCUUUUCUUUAAGCAUCUCCAGUAAGGAAGUCACUGUCAUGGCUGUCCCCUCUCCAGAACGUUCCCUUAUUAGGGGAUGAUUCUGUUUUUGGAAACUUGACUUUGCUUAUAAUGCUUUCUGUAUUGUUUCUCUGGAAAUGUCACUUUUCAUCCUUAAAACUAAGCUUGAUUAUAUUAGGAAAAGGGAGAGCCAAGCAAUGUUUUGUGAAAUUAAGAGAAUCAGCAGCAAUGGCUCCAGGAAAACAUCACGUGACACAACUGAGUCUCCAAAGAAACCAGAAAUUUCCACUUCACACUCACGGAUCAUGGUGGAGCAUGUAAUGGAGAGGUGUGCUGUCAGUUGGCUUUGUUGUAUGAACAUUGUAGUUCCUUCCAUAGACAAAAAGCCUCUGAUCUUACUAGGCAAGGUGAGUUGAUGUGGCCUUCAUUGUAGAUGGAAUUAACAUUGAUGGAGCCCUCGUGUAGCAUGUAGAUUCCUUUAGUUUUACAGUAACCAAGGUUGGCAGAGCAGGAUGGAGUGUACCUAUUUUUAAGUGAGGGUGCUCAGUCAGUUGAAGUGGCUAAGGUUACAUAGUGGAAAAGAAAAUCAGUAUGCUCACAGAGGUUUUGGCAAUCCCCAGUCCCUGGCCUUCCUCUUUCUAUGGCUGUUGACCCCAUCUAACCUUCUCACAUGAAAACUACGAAGGAUAAAGCACUGUGACGUCUGCUCGGACUUGCUGAAUUGGUGUUCUUUAUCACAGCACCACUGUAUCUCUUACUGUAAUGCAUUUUUGUGGGCUCUCUUGAAGUGACUUGCUUUGGAUGCACCUCACUUCAUACAUAGUGAGACCCAGGGAGGGUCUCCUUCUCCCCUCUGAUCUGAACCAGCAUCAGAACAGGGUUCAAGGGAAAGCAGAGAUGCUGGGUAGACCACCCUGUGACAUUCAUAGUCAGGACUGAGAUCUCAACCCUAGUGAAGAAGGACAGUUUGAGUUUUAGAAAAUUGAAUGGCUCCUUUGCAUUGUUUCCGCAGAUAUAAAUACUUCCCACACAUUUGGGAAGAUUUCUCUUCCUAAAACUCUCAUUCCUCUUCUUUUUAGUCCUCUUUCUCAUCCAUUAUGAUAUAAAAAGAAGCCAUGUCUAAGAUUUCAUCUCUUGACUUUAAAUUUGAAUAUCUCCACAGGUUAAAUUCUUCCUCAUGCAAUAGGUACUAAUUAAGUAGAAUUUCUUUUUAGAAAUAGAUUUGCCCAUUAUGGUGAAGCCUUUUUUCGCCCUGAACAUACUGGGUAUAUAUGAAAAUAGAGGCUAAAUCAUGAGAAAUUUCAAUGUGGAAAGGAACCAGGUGGUCCACAGGAGAGAAUAAAUCAAGUAAAGAUGCUGUCUGUUAGUCAGUGUUCCACCUUAUUAAACAUGAAUUCUGCACUUCUUACAGCAGAGGCAGAGGUGCUUAAUAAGUGUUAAUAAUGACUAAUAUCAUAUCACAGAUGUUAAUUGAAUGUUGAUAAGUAUCUAAAAAUUACAGUAACAGAGACACACUUCAGCAACCUAGCACAGUGAUGCUCUUCCUUGGUGAAAUGCUGCAGAUUGUGUGUGUGUGUACAUGAACACUUGCAAUUAAGACAGGAUUUUUGCAACAGUCAAAUGCAGACGUUCAGUAUUUUUGUGGUGCCACCCAGAUAUGCUGCCAUCCAGACAUCAAGUCUGAAGUAAGGGAAAAUAUUUGCUGCUUAAUCUAAUAUCAGGGAAAAUUCUUGGACAAAAAUACUAAGAAUAAAUAACCUUUAGCAAUUUGAUCCGGAUUUGAAUAACAUCUGGGAUUUCUGGCAUUAAGUAUUUUGUAUAUGUGGGGCAUUCAUGCAUAAGGAGGAGGGUAAAACUCAAGCUAGCACAUGAUGCUAGGGUCUACAGCAGGGAAGAAGUUUUGUUUUGUUUUUUAUUUUUUUCCUAACGGUCUGAAUUCCAGCCCAAAGGCUUCCUUGCUUUCUGAUGUCACCAGCUGUUCCUCUUGCACCUUGAACUUUGAUCACAGUUGUACAUUGUCUUGCACAAGUUAUUUGAACAACUCUGAUAUUGAAGACUCAGAAAUGUUUGGUAAGGAGGGAGCUAUUUUCCAUGGUUCUUACUUUUCCACAUAAUUUGUAGAGUUUUAAAGCGGCUUGCUGCUGUCCAAUGUUGGGUUUUUAUUCUGUGGGGUCAGAAUAAUGUGCGUCUUCAGUUGUUUUAAGGUGGCAUGGUGUCUGACGCUCCCAUUCUAGCCUUGGGUAUUUUAGUUCUAUGCAGAAGAAUGGCUCUCCUCAGGGCUAAUAAGGUCUCUAGUUCCCUUUGUCCUUUAGAAAUAUCUUGGUUGGUACUGUAGAUAGGGCUAAGACUCCUUCCUGCCAGUAAGUCAAGGAAUAAGUUUAUUUUAUGGCUAGUGAUCCUGUC
rnacentral:lncRNA from 1 species